UACGUAGGGCGCAAGCGUUUGUCCGGAAUUAUUGGGCGUAAAGAGCUCGUAGGCGGUUUGUCGCGUCUGCUGUGAAAACCUAAGGCUCAACCUUGGGCUUGCAGUGGGUACGGGCAGACUAGAGUGCGGUAGGGGUGACUGGAAUUCCUGGUGUAGCGGUGGAAUGCGCAGAUAUCAGGAGGAACACCGAUGGCGAAGGCAGGUCACUGGGCCGCAACUGACGCUGAGGAG
rnacentral:rRNA from 1 species